GCCGGAUUAGAGCAACUGAUUUGUAAUCAGUAGGUCGUUGGUUCGAAUCCGACAUCCGGCACCA
rnacentral:tRNA from 1 species